GCAGAGAUGGCGGAGUGGUCGAACGCGCACGACUCGAAAUCGUGUUACGGGCAACUGUACGGGGGUUCGAAUCCCUCUCUCUGCGCCA
rnacentral:tRNA from 1 species